rnacentral:rRNA from 1 species
AUUGAACGCUGGCGGCAUGCCUUACACAUGCAAGCCGAACGGUAACAGGUUAAGCUGACGAGUGGCGAGCGGGUGAGUAAUGUAUCGGAACGUGCCCAGUCGUGGGGGAUAACUGCUCGAAAGAGCAGCUAAUACCGCAUACGACCUGAGGGUGAAAGCGGGGGAUCGCAAGACCUCGCGCGAUUGGAGCGGCCGAUAUCAGAUUAGGUAGUUGGUGAGGUAAAGGCUCACCAAGCCGACGAUCUGUAGCUGGUCUGAGAGGACGACCAGCCACACUGGGACUGAGACACGGCCCAGACUCCUACGGGAGGCAGCAGUGGGGAAUUUUGGACAAUGGGCGCAAGCCUGAUCCAGCCAUGCCGCGUGCGGGAAGAAGGCCUUCGGGUUGUAAACCGCUUUUGUCAGGGAAGAAAAGGUUCUGGCUAAUACCUGGGACUCAUGACGGUACCUGAAGAAUAAGCACCGGCUAACUACGUG